rnacentral:rRNA from 1 species
ACCACAGCCAAGGGAACGGGCUUGGCAGAAUUAGCGGGGAAAGAAGACCCUGUUGAGCUUGACUCUAGUCCGACUUUGUGAAGAGACAUGAGAGGUGUAGCAUAAGUGGGAGCCUUGCAAAAUUGAAAUACCACUACUUUUAUCGUUUUUUUACUUAUUCAGUUAAACGGAAGAUGGGAUGCAAGUCCCUUUAUUCUGGAAUCAAGCGCCCGACAUUUGCCGGGCGCGAUCCGAUCUGAAGACAGUGUCAGGUUGGGAGUUUGACUGGGGCGGUACAUCUGUCAAAAGGUAACGCAGGUGUCCUAAGGUUAGCUCAGCGAGGACAGAAACCUCGCGUAGAGCAAAAGGGCAAAAGCUAACUUGAUUUUGAUUUUCAGUACGAAUACAGACCGUGAAAGCGUGGCCUAUCGAUCCUUUUGAUGUUAAGAGUUUUAAGCAAGAGGUGUCAGAAAAGUUACCACAGGGAUA